rnacentral:lncRNA from 1 species
UUUUUUUUUUUUUUUUUUGGUAACCUACUUAACACUGACCAGUUUUAUGAUAGUUAAAGGUAUCAAUGAAGGCAGUUAUUUAUAUGUUUUUAAUACAACUGAAAACAUCAAGAAAAAAAUUUAGGCAAUGGACAGAAAGGAUCACGCCAGGGAAAACAUUACCUUCACAAUUUACAUAACUGUGAAAUACUUAAUUCCCAUUCAUAUCACACUUAUAAUUCAUAACAUUGACACUGAACACAAUUUAUAUAAACUGAAUUUAUAUUAAAAUAUCAUAAUGCUAUUAAUAGACAAAUUGGUUCCCUAAAGCAUUAAGUGCAUAAAGAUGAUUACUUCCCUAAAGCAGACACAUAAUGGGUCAUGCAAAGAUUCUUGUCUACAUUGUUUCUUGUACAUUUUCUCAACAAAAUGCACUUUGUUCAUGUUUUGAAUGUGCAAUAUUCAAAAGCUACAAUAUGUCAUACCCAGAUGAAAAGCAUACACUAAUGGAAUAUACUAUUAUGAACCCAAGUGUAACAAUUUAAACUUAUUUUGAAUAGCAAAUUAUUGUGCUUCAAUUUUAUAUGACUAUUCUACACACAAAACCCAUACCACCCCUCUAUAGAUUUCCAUGUCUUAAAUCAUCCUUCUUGGCUAGGUUUAAUCAUGCCAACCUGGUUGUGGGAAACGAUUUUUUUGGAUCAGUUAAUUCCUCUUCUUUCUGUAAAGCCAGUUAAUAUCAAUAGAAGCAAUCACAUAGCAAUUUAACACUACAUGAAUGAAAUAAUAUGCCCCCCAAAAUUACAUUUGUUUUCUACGGAGUGACUACAUGCCAACUAGGCUAAAACAGGUAAUACACAUGAUACCUUGUAUCAUUCAAGAUUCCACUCUCGACAGUUAAGCUCUCUCUUUUCCCUCGAUUGACUUUCUAACAGUUGUCGUUCUGACUUCUGCCACCCUGUGCAAGAAAAGAUUUAAGGACUAUUGGGGGACAAUUUGGUUAAUGGAAACCCCUGCAUCUUCUCUGAGAUGCUUUUAAGCCUUACAUUUACAUGUAAAUCUUUAUGGGUUUUUAUCUACAGGAUAUUUAUUUCUAUCUCCAUUCAUUUUCUGUUCUCUGCAGCAAAAAUUUUUGAAUACUGAUUAGUAACUCUCCCACAUUGUUUUGAAAAAUCUAAUUUCUACAUUUUAGUCAAACUUUGGGUUGUUGCAAAUAAUGGAACUACUGACAAAGCCUUCUAGCAAAUUCAUCCAAGUGGGGGCUCUUUCUUAUGCUGGGUCAGCAGACCCCUUAGGCAGCCCAGUAAAGUCUGUGGGUUCCAUCAGAGAAUAAUAUAGACAUAUGGAUUUUAAAAUAUUGUGUAAAAAUCUAUGUUUAUUACAUUACAUAACAAGUGUUCAGGCAGGAUGAUGAUUACCCCAACUUUUAGAUAUGAAUAUAAACUAUAGUUUGAGAUCUGUAACACCUAUAUGACAUGAAAACAGUCUGAUUUCUAUUGGUGCUCAUCACAGGUACUAUGGAUACGUCUUUGGCUAGUGGCCAACAAUCCAAAUAAAGGAGAAGCAUAAUUUCACUUAACUCAGUUAAAUCCCGUUUGUUCAUCGGAUUCACUCCUCUAUUUGUGAAAAUUUAGUAAAAUGUCUCCUGAAGUUACGUCUCUAAGUGGAAUUUGAUAUCUCAAAAUCCACAAGAAAUUCUAAAGAAGAAAAAUCAUUCCAUCUUUUUUGUGUGUGUGUGCCUGUGUUCUAUGGAGGAGUUAUUUUUUGAAAAAUUCAAUUUGCCCCCCUUUUUUUUUUUCCGGCUUUUUAGGGCCUCACCUGCAGCACAUGAAAAUUCCCAGGCUAGGGAUCAAAUCAGAGCUACAGCUGCCAGCCUAUACCACAGCCACAGCAGUGUGGGAUCCAAGCCUUGUCUGUGACCUACACCACAGCUCGCAAUACCACCAGAUCCUUAAAACAUUGAGCGGGGCCAGGGGUCAAACCUGCGUCCUUAUGGAUACUAGUUGGAACAGGCUAAACAGUGUUCAUGACACAUAUAAACACAAGACUUCUAUGACAAAAUAAAUGUAUCCUUCUCUAUUAACAUAGGUGUAACCACAAAAUUAUAGGUUUAUCUAAUAUUAUCCCAUAAACUUUAAUAAAUACAAAUCAAACUGGCAGUGCUAUUUGUCUUUUAAAAUAAACAUAUUUUUACCGUCUCAAUUUCCAAGUUUUCCCAGAGCUGGUCCCUAAGUACUUAACAUCAUAAAAAUAAUUUGAUUUAUAUAAAAGAAUUACCAUCCAACCAGCUAGUAUAUCAGUGUUACUGAGCCUGUGAAUCAUUGAGACAUAUUUCAUUUGAACACACAUCCAUCAAAUUAGCUCCGUAUGUCAACUCAAGGAGCAUUAACUGUCCCAUGGACAGAGGAUUCUAUAAAACCCAUCGCUGACAAGGUAGUUUCACAGCUCUUAUUUUUAUGUGAAGCUGAAAAGCUCAUUUAAAUGCAUACUGGAGAAGCUCAGUUUUAUUGAAUAUGUGUGAUAUAUAGUACAUUCUACUUUAGCCUUUUAAAAUGGGUAAAAGCAAAGAAAGGGCUCUAGUUGUAUAAUUUGCAUUAUUCAUAAUUCUUUUUACCUUCAUGAAAUAUGUAGUUUUGAAUUAGUUUUGAAUUAGGCAAACUUCCCAAAGUUGUAUAUUAAACCUUAAGAGGCAUGUGUAUUUGUGUAGGCGUGUGUAUGCAUGUAUGUACAGACAUGUCCACGUGUGCAAUGGGAGUAUAUGAAAGUGUGUCUGUGGGGGUGUCUAAGUGAAUGCAGGUAUCAGAGUGGGUGUGUGUAGGUGUCUCUGUAUGGGGUGUGGUGGGGGAGGCACUUACAGGGGAUACACCAACGGGAGAAAGGCAUGAGGUGGGGGAUUUGUGUGAGGGAUGGGUGUGGGGAUUCCGGCACUUGUGAGGGGGGCACACAAGAGGGGAUUUGGGGUAGUGAUGGGAGGAAAGUGUGGGGGAAGAGAAGGAGAGAGAUGGGGGUGGUGUCACAAGGUGUGCCGUGUUUGCAUGGGUGUGUGUAGUACACAUAGAGCCUGCCUUAGCUUCAGCACGAAGAGGAAUCCCCAGGAUAAAUGCAGAGGAGAAUGGUGGGACAGGGUGAGUACCAAAGAGCUUCAAGAGCUUGCCAGCUCCAUCUCAGCCUGGUGCUCAACGUCACUCCUCCCCUUCCAUUUUCAUGCUUUAUUCUAGUGCCAGCACUCAUCAUCUUUCCUCUGUUUUAAAUCAUGAAGCAUUUAAGGUUCAAGGGAUUAAGGUAAUUUACUUCAAAUCCUCAAUUUGGCCGUGAUGUCGAUCAAGUUCAGAGAAAUGUUAGGUGAGACUCCAACUUUGCCCUUCAGACAUAGUCCAUACUUGUAUUCUGUGUAGUCUUGGUCAGGUACCACUGAUGACUGUGCAUCUGUGGGAAUAAAAAUAACUGUAUCCUAGAGAAAAAUCUCAGUAAGAUAACCUGCCAUCAGAGCAAGUGGAAGAAACAGGAGCUGAAUAAACUCCAGAUCUGAGAGGGUCAUGUCAGACAGAAGACAUAGCCAUGGGCUGCAGAUAAAUAGGGCUCUGUGGGUUUUCAAGGUAGAAAAUUAAAUCAAGCAUAUCAGCUCUUUUGACUAAUCUCUUGCUUUUUUCUAUGGACUGCCCUAUUUUUUGAACUCUUCUAUCUGUACUUUUCAUUCCUCAAAUGUCAGUCUGGAUAGUAUUUGACUUGUGGACUCUCGAGUAGUAAACCAAACCUUAAUUUCAAAACAAUUGCCCUACAUGUAUUUUUAGAAAUGUGUUAACAUUUUCCAUUUUUGAAUAUUUUAUGUUUUUUAACAUUUUUAUUCACAAGUAACUCAUUUUUAUUAAGCAAUUUUGUUCCUAAGUCCUUAAAAGGAACAAAACAAAGCUCUCCAGACUCAUACAUUUUUUUUUUUCCCCACUGACUCUCCUUCUUAGGGGAUCUUAGGAUCCUGGCUUCAACUACUGUUCCCUGACCCAUGACUUCCAACUCAGUCUCUGAUACCUUCAACUCAGUGUUCAAAUGGUAUCUCAAACUUGGACUUACAUGUUCUAAGAGAACAAAAGAAACAUGAAUAAAUAGUCAUCUGCUUCUCACCUUUUCGUCAUCACUCAAGCAACUAGAUUUUUAACCUUCUGGAAAUACAUACACACACACACACACAUUGUGGUAAGCAGCCUCCAUGCUGGUCCCAUAUUCUGGUAUCCAAAGCCUUUUCUACUUCCUGCCACUUGACUGUCUUGCUUCUAACAAGUAGAACACAUCAACUUGAAGUGCAUUGCACGUCUGUGAUCAGGUUACAAGAGAUUAUAACCUGAGUUUUUGUAACAGACUCCCUCCUACUGGAUUUGAUGUUAAGGAGAGAAAGCCAUGUGACAACUAGCUGAGUCCAGUCUGUAACCAGUAGCCAGUGGUGCCCUCAGCCCAACCAUCCUUGAGGAGACAUCCUGACAACAGGCAUGUAGACGAGUUCGGAAAGAGACCCCUCCCAGUUCAGCCUUCUGUUGAGACCUCAGCCCUGGUGGGCAUCUUGACUGUGGACUGCUAAGAGACCCCGAAGCAGAGAACCUGUAUCCAUAUUCCCGACUUACACCAACAAGACAGCAGCUUAACAUCACAAGCAAAUGUGGAGCCUUAGGGUGAUGUACUACACAGCAAUAGAUUAGGAAGGACAAAAGGCCAUGAGUUGACAUCAAUUUGAGUACCUUCUCUAUGGUGUUUCAUUUAGUAACGUGUCAAUUUAGGAGAGCUAAGUGACAAGUGAGAAAAUUUACCUGUGUUCAAAACAGGUAUCCAAUACAUGGCAGCUGCUGUUUCCUUAGUAGUUAGCCUCAGUUCUGUCCUACCUCCACUGUCCCUGCCACAGCUACUGUAACGAUGGUUCCACCAGGUGUCCUCUUUACUAUAGGGGCUGUGCCUAGUACUCAGCCUCACCCCUGUCUCAGGGA